rnacentral:sRNA from 1 species
AACAAUUAUAAUAUAAUUAUAUAAUCUUAAACACUAAACAAAAUUAACAAUAUUAAAA